GCUAAAGCGCUGAAGGGAAUGCUGGCGUGGACACAAGUUAGACGAGGCCAAAAA
rnacentral:ribozyme from 1 species